rnacentral:rRNA from 1 species
AUGGAGAGCAACCACAGGGACCUGCAGCCACCGGCAGGCUACCCGACGACAGUGGGCACGGUGCCGGCAAGUGGCGACGGCUCGCCGCGCCGGGAAGAGACAAGGCAACGCGGCCGCAAAACUGGUUUCCUCGAUGCAUGUGUCGCCGCACUGUGCUGCUGCUGGCUGUGCGACCUGUGCUGCGUCUAG